AGUUGCUGGAAUUAUUACAGCUGAUUUUGCCCCAGGCACGGUUCACUGGGGAGCUGGUACCUGGGGUUCCGCUGAUAUCCCUGUCACUGGCAAGUGAUCUCAGAAUAUAUUUUUUUCCUGAGGUUUAUGUGCCAUCUUAUGAAAAUAUGUAGAAGUCUUCCAAUUUGCUUUAAUGUCCUGGAAGAUUGACCUUAGAAAUAUUCACCCUACCCUGGAGACGAUAAAUUUGUCACCAAAGUAGUUGUAUCAGCAUCGUGUUGAUCCAGCAGCAGUAAAGCAUUACUUCAUUAAGACUGAUGGAAGUAACUCUUCAAUAGCCAUAAAUCCACCUGCCUGCACGUUGCAUUAUUCACCUUCUCAAACAUCAGUGAUUCUUUUUCUCAUCAUGGAACUCUUGGAAGAAACUUAGAAUUUGUAAGUCAGUGUUAGCAUGAAUGUUAUUGCACAAAACUAGAUGUUGGCCACAUAAUGGAAGAACCUGGAGAAGUCUGGAAACUGAGGCUGAUAGAUAUAAGCAUC